rnacentral:rRNA from 1 species
GUGGGGAAUAUUGGACAAUGGGCGCAAGCCUGAUCCAGCCAUGCCGCGUGAGUGAUGAAGGCCUUAGGGUUGUAAAGCUCUUUCACCGGUGAAGAUAAUGACGGUAACCGGAGAAGAAGCCCCGGCUAACUUCGUGCCAGCAGCCGCGGUAAUACGAAGGGGGCUAGCGUUGUUCGGAAUUACUGGGCGUAAAGCGCACGUAGGCGGAUAUUUAAGUCAGGGGUGAAAUCCCGCAGCUCAACUGCGGAACUGCCUUUGAUACUGGGUAUCUCGAGUAUGGAAGAGGUGAGUGGAAUUGCGAGUGUAGAGGUGAAAUUCGUAGAUAUUCGCAGGAACACCAGUGGCGAAGGCGGCUCACUGGUCCAUUACUGACGCUGAGGUGCGAAAGCGUGGGGAGCAAACAGGAUUAGAAACCCUGGUAGUCC